UUUCCGUAGGUGAACCUGCGGAAGGAUCAUUCAUAAUAAGUGUUUUAUGGCACUUUUUUAAAUCCAUAUCCACCUUGUGUGCAAUGUCAGGGUUGAUUUUUCUCUCGAGAGGAUCGGCCCCAAAUAUCAACUAUAUCUCAACUCUUUGUCUGAAAAAUAUUAUGAAUAAAACAAUUCAAAAUACAACUUUCAACAACGGAUCUCUUGGCUCUC
rnacentral:misc_RNA from 1 species